rnacentral:lncRNA from 1 species
CAAUUACAAAAAAAAUAAAAUAAAAAAAAAUAAAAAAUCUUAACGAUAGAAAACAUCAAUUUUAUACCACUAAUUAAUUUUUUUUUUAGACAAAUAGCAGCACUGAAAUAACUUCACCUUUAGGGUGCGUUUGGUUCGCACUAUAAAAGAUUACUAGUAAUAAAAAGAUGUCCGAGAAUCUUAUUCUUAUUCAUCCUAUUACUAAGAAUGUUGCAUUCCUGUGUUUGUUUUGUACAUUCAUAUUAUUUAGUCAUGUUAUUUAAUAUUACAAAAAAUAUACAAUUAAUUUAUUUAUUUAUUUAAUUAAUUUUAAAUAAUGCUAUAAAACAUUUCAACAUCUUUUUAGAACAAAGGAAGAGAGAAGAUAGGUUAGAGAGAGAGCAUAAUUAAAGAAAUAGAAAGAGAAAUAGAAUCGAGGUUAGAGGAAGUGAGAGAGUUGAGAUUUUAAAAAAAGAGGAGAGAGAGCUUAGUUUAGAGAGAGAAAAAGAGUUGAAGUGUAGAAAAAAAAGAUAAGUUUAGAGAGAGAUAUGAGGUUAGACUGUAAAAGAAAAUAAUACCAACUAGCUGGCGGAUAGGGAGACAGAAAAAAAAUUAAACAUAUUAUGAUUACCCCAAUCUAUUAAUAUGAGAAUACCUACCCUCUCUCAAGGGAAUGAGAUUACUACUUUGGGAUGAAUCUAAUUCCCAAAUAAAUCUAAUAUUACCAACUAGAUUACUUAGUGCGUUUAGCCAAAUAUCGUCAUUUUUUUUUUAUUUCUAUUGGAUUACUAGGAAUCUUAAAAAGAUAGUGCAAACCAAACGCAUUCUUAUAGUUAUAUAAAUAGUUAUAUAAACAAGUAGCAGAAGAGAAAUAAUUUUCAUCUGAACUUUUUUUUUUUUUUUGAGAGAUAGGUAGCACGCUACCCGCUUCAUUUAUUUUAUUUAGAAAUAAACUUAGCUAGAAAUGUGAAUCAACUAGGAUUCAAACUUGGGUCUCGGGUACCAACCACCAAGCCCUUUGCCAAUUGCUCUAGGGACGGUCAGUAUUUUUAUCUGAACUUUAGUUAAUCCAAAAGUUUACUUCAAUUUGAACAUCACUUUCGGUGAAAUAAUCAUUUCAGUUCAUAGUUACUUUUAUUUCAAAUAAGUAAAAAGAGAAAAAAUAAAAGACCGAAAGCUAUACAAAAGUGCUCUUCCUGUAUAUAUUUUUUAUUUAGGAUAAAAGUAAAGGGAAAAAAAAAACUAAAAAAAUGCCGAGACUCUAUUAGGUCACAAAAUGAAGAAAAUUAAACUAUUUUAUCUCAUUUACUCUAUCAAAUAUAAUCAUAUUGAUCAGAAUAAUUAUAAGUUAUUCUAGAAUAAUCCAGUAAAUGAAAGCAAUCCCCCAACCCUCGAAUAGGGCUAUUUUUUUUUGUUUAUUGUUCGUCCAUUGUUUUUGGACUGCGUUUUACUUUACUCUCGGCUUUCAUUUUGCCUCAUUUUUCGUUCCAGAUAUUUUUUUUUUUUUUUUUGAGAUAUAGGUAGCAUGCUACCCGCUUCGUUUAUUUUAUUUAGAAAUAAACUUAGCUGAAAAUAUGAAUCAACUAGGAUUCGAACUUGGGUCUCAGGUACCAACCACCAAGUCCUUUGCCACUUGCUCUAGGGACGGUCGGUCGUACUAGAUAAUUUUUUCUCACUAUUCUUCAAUUUUUUUGAAGAAAAUAAGGGUAUAUAAGUUUGGUUAUCGUAAAGUGCUGUUUGGUUCAGGGUUAAAGGGGGGAUAAAGGGUUAU